rnacentral:tRNA from 1 species
GGAGGAGUCGCCUAGUCCGGACGAUGGCGCCGCACUCGAAAUGCGGUAGGCGGGCAACCGUCUCGAGGGUUCAAAUCCCUCCUCCUCCG